GGCGCCCUGCUGUGUUCGUGAUGGUCCGGAGUAGUUUUGAGCCAACACUCAAGACAAAUGGAGCCUGUGGUCUGGCUGCCGAGUGGCAACCUCUAAGCCAGGGGUAACGCAGAGGCAGCGGUAGGGCUCCCCCCGUGGGAACACGGGUUCAAAAACUGCGGGACCACACGGCAUCGGCGGGGCUUCC
rnacentral:other from 1 species